rnacentral:rRNA from 1 species
UGAUAGAGAUAGCUUGCUAUUGAUUGAUCAACGUGAAUGUUAGUGGCGGACGGGUGAGUAACGCGUGGGUAACCUACCUACGACAGGGGGAUAACAGUUAGAAAUGACUGCUAAUACCGCAUAAGCGCACAGUAUCGCAUGAUACAGUGUGAAAAACUCCGGUGGUGUAAGAUGGACCCGCGUCUGAUUAGCUAGUUGGUGAGGUAACGGCCCACCAAGGCGACGAUCAGUAGCCGGCCUGAGAGGGUGAACGGCCACAUUGGAACUGAGACACGGUCCAAACUCCUACGGGAGGCAGCAGUGGGGAAUAUUGCACAAUGGGGGAAACCCUGAUGCAGCCGACGCCGCGUGAGUGAAGAAGUAUUUCGGUAUGUAAAGCUCUAUCAGCAGGGAAGAUCAUGACGGUACCUGACUAAGAAGCUCCGGCUAAAUACGUGCCAGCCGCGGC